rnacentral:rRNA from 1 species
AGAGUUUGAUCCUGGCUCAGAAUCAACGCUGGCGGCGCGCUUAACACAUGCAAGUCGCACGAGAAAGUGGAGCAAUCCAUGAGUACAGUGGCGUACGGGUGAGUAACACGUGGAUCAUCUACCUCUUAGUGGGGAAUAACCCUGGGAAACCGGGGCUAAUACCGCAUAAGCUCGAGAGAGGAAAGCAGCAAUGCGCUGAGAGAGGAGUCCGCGGCCGAUUAGCUAGUUGGCAGGGUAAACGCCUACCAAGGCAAAGAUCGGUAGCCGGCCUGAGAGGGCACACGGCCACACUGGCACUGAAACACGGGCCAGACUCCUACGGGAGGCAGCAGUGGGGAAUCUUGCACAAUGGGGGAAACCCUGAUGCAGCGACGCCGCGUGAGCGAUGAAGCCCUUCGGGGUGUAAAGCUCUUUCGGCAGGGAAGAUCAUGACGGUACCUGCAGAAGCAGCUGCGGCUAACUACGUGCCAGCAGCCGCGGUAAUACGUAGGCAGCGAGCGUUGUUCGGAGUUACUGGGCGUAAAGGGUGUGUAGGCGGUUGCUUAAGUUUGGUGUGAAAUCUCCCGGCUCAACUGGGAGGGUGCGCCGAAUACUGAGUGACUCGAGUGCGGGAGAGGAGAGUGGAAUUCCUGGUGUAGCGGUGAAAUGCGUAGAUAUCAGGAGGAACACCGGCGGUGUAGACGGCUCUCUGGACCGUAACUGACGCUGAGACACGAAAGCGUGGGUAGCAAACAGGAUUAGAUACCCUGGUAGUCCACGCCCUAAACGAUGCAUAUUUGGUGUGGGUCAUUCAGUUGAUCCGUGCCGGAGCUAACGCGUUAAAUAUGCCGCCUGGGGAGUACAGUCGCAAGGCUGAAACUCAAAGGAAUUGACGGGGGCCCGCACAAGCGGUGGAGCAUGUGGUUCAAUUCGACGCAACGCGAAGAACCUUACCUGGGCUCGAACGGCUGGUUACCGGCGGUGGAAACAU